rnacentral:rRNA from 1 species
AGGACGAACGCUGGCGGCGUGCUUAACACAUGCAAGUCGAGCGAGGCCCUUCCUUCGGGAAGGUGCCCUAGCGGCGAACGGGUGAGUAACACGUGGGCAACCUGCCCCUAGCACUGGGAUAACUCCGGGAAACCGGGGCUAAUACCGGAUAUGACUCCUGAAGGCAUCUUCGGGAGUGUAAAGGAUUCUGGCUAGGGAUGGGCCCGCGGCCUAUCAGCUUGUUGGUGGGGUAAUGGCCUACCAAGGCGACGACGGGUAGCCGGCCUGAGAGGGCGACCGGCCACACUGGGACUGAGACACGGCCCAGACUCCUACGGGAGGCAGCAGUGGGGAAUAUUGCGCAAUGGGCGAAAGCCUGACGCAGCGACGCCGCGUGAGGGAUGAAGGCCUUCGGGUUGUAAACCUCUUUCAGCAGGGACGAAGCGAAAGUGACUGUACCUGCAGAAGAAGCACCGGCUAACUACGUGCCAGCACGCCGC